rnacentral:lncRNA from 1 species
AUGUGCUUAACAUUUUAAAAAUGUUUUCGUGAGAGCCCUAGUGAUCAUAGUCUAGACUCGAGAAGGAAUCCUAGUUCGCUAUGAUCAGAGCUCUGAUACCAAGCUGUCACACCCUGGCUUUGCGGAAGCGUGGUUAAUUUGGUGUGACUUCUUAAUACCAUAGCUUAAUCAUAACAAAGCUAUAUGAAUUUAAAAAUAAGUAAGAUCAUCCAUUAAGUUUAAAACCGAAAAUACCAUAACAUUGUUUUAACGGGAAACACCCUAACAACCAUAAUCUUGUUCAACAGUCAAUACAAACUCAAACAUAUCAUAAACACAGUUUAAGGACUGUGACUUGUCCAGGAAAGAGUCACAUUCCCUAAACCCUGGAUGACCUUGGAAACUAGUGCAGCGGGAAAACGUGCCAUACCGUGC